CCUGUAUCUGGAGACUCAGGUAGGAGCCGAUGUUUUUCUGAUCAGAGUGUCUUGGUGCUGGAGACACAGGGAGGAGCUGAUGUUUUCCUAGUUUGAGGGUCGUGGAACUGGAGACCUGGGGAGGAGCUGUUGUUAUUCUAGUUUGAGGUUCUUCGAGCUGGAAACCCAGGGAGGAGCUGAAGUUGUUCUACUUUGAGGGUCCUGCAGCUGAAGACCCAGGUAGGAGCUGAUGUUUUUCUGAUCAAGGGUCAUGGAGCUGGAGACACAAGGAGGAGCUGAUGUUUUCCUAGUUCAAGGGUCGUGGAGCUGGAGACCCAGGGAGAAGCUGGUGCUGCUCUUGUUUGAGUCUGAGGGUCAUGGAGCUGGAGAUCCAAGGAGGAGCUGAUGUUGUUUUCAUUUGAAGGUCGUGGAUCUGCAGACCCGGAGAGGAGCUGACACUGUUCCAGCUUGAGUGUCGUAGAGCUGGAGACCUGAGGAGGAGCUGAUGCUGCUCUAGUCUGAGGGCCAUGGAGCCGGAGAUCCGGGGAGGAGCUAGUGUUUCUCCAGUGAGAAGUUUGUGGAGCUGGAGACCCAGGGGGGAGCUGGUGUCCCUCCAGGUUGAGGGUUGUGCAGCUGACCCUCAAACGACCUCAAACUAGAAAAACACUCCUCCCCCUGGAUUUCCAGCUCCUCCACCCUCAAACUAGAACAACACUGCCCCCACCCCCACACCAUAUCUCCAGCUCCAUGACCCCCAAACCAAAAAAACACCAGCUCCUCCCUGGUUGUCCAGCCCCAUGACCCUCAAACCAGAAAAACACAGCCCCUCCCUGGGUCUCCAGCUCCAUGAUGCUCAAACCAGACCAAAACCAGCUCCUUCCCAGGUGUCCAGCUGCACGACCCUCAAACAUUGUCCACUGGUGAUUUUUCUGGUCUUGUAGAAUAAAUCUGUUUGUACAUGCUCACUUUUCUGAUACUUCUGUCUGCUUUCUUAAUUGCUGGAGCAGUUCUGACAUAUCUACCUCAUUUACUUGGUGUUUCCAAGCUUCAAGGAAUAAUUAUUGAAACAUAUUAGACCUAUCUCCAGCAUUCUUAAGGCAUUAUUCAAUUCUAAAUGAUGAGUGAGUGGCCCUAAGUCAGCAAUUUUCUACCAGCCUUUACUUCAUCUUUUCUGGUCCCACAUCCUCAAGAUCAAUUGCCUAGCAUGUUCUACAGAUUUCUGCCGGUACAUAUUAGCCAGGACCUAGAAUUCUUUUAGUGUAUAAUUUCCCUCCCAUAGCAGGAACUAUACUUUACCUGAGCUGUGGUGAGACUUGAAUUUCCCUAUUGGGCUAGAAGCUGUGAGCAGUGGUGGAGACACCUUAAAGGAGGCCAAGAAUCAUUUGGCAGGGCCUUAGCUUCAGGUGAGUCCUUCUCAUAAUAGUAUGAGGCUAUGUUUCUCCAGCAAGGAAAGUGAAAUCUUCCCACCCUGCUUAGACUGUUUAGGGCUACCUAGAGGUUUAAACACCUCUCGCAUGCAUCUCUACCCAAACAUUCUGGCCUAAGGGUCUCAUUUAUUGUUGCAGU
rnacentral:lncRNA from 1 species